rnacentral:rRNA from 1 species
UACAGAGGUCUCAAGCGUUGUUCGGAUUCAUUGGGCGUAAAGGGUGUGUAGGUGGCGCGCUAAGUCGGGUGUGAAAUUUCGGAGCUUAACUCCGAAACUGCAUUCGAUACUGGCGUGCUUGAGGACUGGAGAGGAGACUGGAAAUUCAUGGUGUAGCAGUGAAAAUGCGUAGAGAUCAUGAGGGAAGACCAGUGGCGAAGGC